UCUCCGUAGGUGAACCUGCGGAGGGAUCAUUACUGAGUGAGGGCCUUCGGGCUCGACCUCCAACCCUUUGUGAACACAACUUGUUGCUUCGGGGGCGACCCUGCCGGCACUCGGUCGCCGGGCGCCCCCGAAGGUCUCCAAACACUGCAUCUUUGCGUCGGAGUAUUAGUAAAUCUAAUCAAAACUUUCAACAACGGAUCUCUUGGUUCUGGCAUCGAUGAAGAACGCAGC
rnacentral:misc_RNA from 1 species